UUCAGUACGUGUGCUGUUCCGAACUACCAGGCCAACAUAUUAAAGAACGGUAGUAGUACAUGUUCUGUAUGUCAACAGCAAAAUGAAACUAUUGAUCAUGUUGUCUCCAUGUGCAGUCUUCUUGCACCUACAGAGUAUCUCAACAGGCAUGAUAGAGCUGCACAAUAUAUUCACUGGGUAAUUUGCAAAAACCUGGAACUGCCGCAUGAUAAAAAAAAAACUGGUGGGAACACUAAAACUACCUCCAGCGCUUGAAAAUGCUCACAUCUCUCUCCUCUUGAACUUCACCAUUCAAACUGACAGAAAGAUGGAUGCAAAUUGGCCAGACAUUAUAUUGAAAGGCUUCAGAUAA